GAACACCUCUGAGCUGGCUGGAUUGAAGGUGAGUUUGACCUAUUUUAUUUUCUGUGGAGCUCUGUGAUACACUCAUACACACUGCACAUUGCUGUGAGUUUUAUUGCUGUGGAGCUCUGUGAUACUGUUAUUUUGGUAUUUACAUCAAACAUUUUAGUUUCUGUAAAAAAAGAGGAUUGGAGAAUAUAUUUAGACCAGCUCUUUUUUUUUUUAAAUUCUCUACAAUUCUUUGAAUUGUUACAAUUUUUGUAUAUUUUAUACAGAAAUAUUGAGAUUAUAGACAGUUAAAAUUCAAUGAAUCUUAAAUUUGCCCAAAUUUCUAUAAAAUACAGUUUGGAACAAAGCAAAAGCAUAGUGUAAAGAACGCAGACCAUAGAAUGGUUUUAUUUUCUGCCUGUUAUACUGUUUAAAGGGGCAGCUUCGCUGGCUGCCUGAUGAUGAUAAAAGUAGUGGUACUUCCUUCAAUCCCAGUAUUUCCUAAUCAGAGAAUUGUAGGGAACGAUAAACCAACAUCCAGAAUCUAGAACUCUCCAUCUCCAUUCCCUAUUUACUAAACUGUAUCUUGCGAGCAUCAGCUUCCGUCUCAAACUAAUUUUCAUCUCCAACAAAGUUUCAAUCCUUGAUUUUUUUUUUUUUAGAAAACUGAAUUUUCAUCGGGAUUUUUCAGCUGAUCGUUAUCUAGACGGAGUAAAGAAAUUGUAUUUCGCGUGGCUCUCAGGUAACCGGAUCAGAGGAAUCACAAAUCAGCCCGUCUGUAAAGGUGUUUAAGAGGAAGACUGACAGGCGGCCUGCUCCCCCCAUGCGCCCUGUGUUCGGGAUGUUUUCAAUAAGAAAUAUCUCAUCUGGAGACUCAUAAU